CAUAAUUAAUUAAAAUUUAAAAUUUUGAAAGAAAAAAAAACGUCAUUCUCUCUUUUUAUUUUUCAAAAUGAAAGGUGCAGAGUCAGCUGAGAAAGAAUGAAACCCUAAGUUUUUCACGCCAUUUUUGCCUCCGUUCUCGCUGCGGUUUCCGCUGCCGGUGCCGGUGCCGGUGCCGUUACCACUACCAUGUCCAUUGCAAUAGAGAGCUUCUGGAUCAAGCCACCUCUUCUAUCAACGCGUUUUCAGAUUUGUUCUCUCUGCCUGUCGUUGCUGUCACUGUUGCCAUCGCAGUUUCUGCCGCCGUUGCUGCCACAGGUUCUGUCGUCGAUGCCACCGUUAUUGUCGUGGUACAACGCAUUUGUAGAUCUGUUCACUCCCGAGCUUCUUCUUUAACGCCGCUUUCUCUCACUCCAAUUUCUCCUUUGAAUUGAUGCUGGUACUUCUUUUUCUUCUUCUUCUCUAUUAAUUUGCUAAUAUUUCUUCUUUCUUAACAAUAAAUUUCUUCUCUGUCUCGCCGCCUCAGUUCUGUUGCAACUUUCUUACUGUAUCCCCUCUUGUUCUGUUUUUUUUUUUAUUGUUCUUCAUUUGUGUUGAUAAGGUGUCUUGGAAACAAGGUAGGGAAGACAAGAUAAUUGUUCAUUGAAGCUGUUUUGUUUCAUGCCAAUAGAUUAAUGGUGAUGUUGACAUGUGUGUUGUCUUUUAAAUUAUGCAAAUUCAGUAUUGUUACUAGUUGAGGUUAGAUUAUUCUUUACAGUCACUUUUAAAUUAAUGGUGAAUUGACAAGGUGUUGAAAAACAAAGAUUUAUUUAACACAUUCAAACGGUAUCACUUGGAAACAGGCUAGUUCCUCAUGGCUUAUUUGUAGAACUUUAAAGGAAGAAGUGAAUAUUACAGGACCACUUGGAUUUCAAAAUGAGGAAUAUAAUGGGAGCUUGCCUACUUUGGUCUAUAGGCCAUAUUCAUGGACAAAGGGAACAAAUUCAGGUUCUACCCCAGAGCAAGCUGCAACAGGGAACAAAUUCAGGAUUCCGAAGUCUUUUCCUUGUCUUCAUGAUAAAGUUCUCCAAGCUGCUGUUGAUGUUACUAUGAGCCAAUCUCCAAGCCAAAAUGAAAGACAUGGAACAACUUCUGUCUUUGCUAAUUUUGUCAAGAACUUCACCACGGGAAAAGCAGAUCAAAAUGCAAAUAAACCAGCUCAUCCUAAUAUUUUGGAGAAUCUAGAACAAAUAUUCUCAAAUCCUCCCUUCUUAAAGCCUUCAUCAGGCAUAGUUGAUCCACUUGAUAUUCAUAUUGAUAAACCCAU